GCUCUGGAUUUUCUUUUGCUUCUGUGCUUCCCCUUCAGGAAUGCAUUUUGGUUUUUGGACUUUACUUUUUAAGUUUUUCUUUAUCCUGCUCACCUGAGUCUGAAUUUGGGUCCUUCCAUUCAAACCCGGAAUUCAUGGCUUUCAACAAACAUCACGAGUUCAUUCCCGUGUGUCUUCAUCUGCAUUUGAGUCAAUUGGGUCAACCUCAACACAUUGACGUGAAUCAAUUUCUUCCAUUCAAACUUCUCCGCCACCUGGAACAAGACCAAAGACUGCCUCACGUCAGGAACGAGAUUGCAGACCUGCACAUGGGCUACAAGACCAUCUGCAAGAAGACUGACAAGAAGGUGAUAACUGUUGGUCAUUUUAUAUUUCUCCCAUUUCCAAAUAACGGAACCAUCAGUUACCCUCGGUCUGCAACUCCGUCAAAGAUCUUGCCUCAUUGGGUAAAGAUAAAAGGCAGCUGAUCAGCCCAACACUACACAGCAGUUGAGACCGCAGUCACCACGAACAUCGCUGGUAACACGGUAUGCUGUAAUCGAGUGAAAUGCUGCAGUGCCUCCUGCUCCAGAAGGCGCAGAAGAAAACCAAAUUCAAGCUCUUUGGCAUCAAUUUGACCCACUGUGUUUGGAGGAAAUGGAAACAUUAGGUUUGGGGCUGUUGUGUUUGAUAAGGAAGCAGGGCAUCUUCACUGCAUUGGGGAGACCAAUGGACAGGGCUAUGUACUGGAAAAUCUUGGACGAGACCCUCCUUCACUCAGCCAGAAGAACGAAAAUAGGUUGAAUAGAUUUGCCAUCAUCACAAUCACACAAAACAUACUAC